ACUCAAAUGAAUUGACGGGGGCCCGCACAAGCGGUGGAGCAUGUGGUUUAAUUCGAUGCAACGCGAAGAACCUUACCUACUCUUGAAUCCACGGAAUCUGCUAGAAAUAGUGGAGUGCCUUCGGGAACCGUGAGACAGGUGCUGCAUGGCUGUCGUCAGCUCGUGUCGUGAGAUGUUGGGUUAAGUCCCGUAACGAGCGCAACCCUUGUCCUUAGUUACCAGCGAGUUAUGUCGGGGACUUUAAGGAGACUGCCGGUGAUAAACCGGAGGAAGGUGGGGAUGACGUCAAGUCCUCAUGGCCCUUACGAGUAGGGCUACACACGUGCUACAAUGGCCGGUACAAAGGGUUGCCAACCUGCAAAGGGGAGCUAAUCUCAAAAAGCCGGUCGUAGUCCGGAUUGGAGUCUGCAACUCGACUCCAUGAAGCUGGAAUCGCUAGUAAUCGCGGAUCAGCACGCCGCGGUGAAUACGUUCCCGGGCCUUGCACACACCGCCCGU
rnacentral:rRNA from 1 species